rnacentral:ncRNA from 2 species
CUGGAAUUCCGUGGGAGCCCGGGCAGGCCGGGCUGAGAGGGCGAAGCCGCCGACCACUCGGACUCGAUGCGGGUCAUGCCGCCGUGAGGAGGAGAUGUGGGCGUCAC